rnacentral:rRNA from 1 species
UACGGAGGGUGCGAGCGUUAUCCGGAUUCACUGGGUUUAAAGGGUGCGUAGGUGGGAAUGUAAGUCAGUGGUGAAAUCUCUGGGCUUAACUCAGAAACUGCCAUUGAUACUAUGUUUCUUGAAUUUUCUGGAGGUCAGCGGAAUAUGUCAUGUAGCGGUGAAAUGCUUAGAUAUGACAUAGAACACCAAUUGCGAAAGGCAGCUGGCUACAGGGAUAUUGACACUGAGGCACGAAAAGCGUGGGGGAUCAAAACAGG